rnacentral:lncRNA from 1 species
UAAUCCAAACAAAAUCUAAAGUGUCUUAUUCAAAUAUGUAAAUUGGUUAUAUAUAGUGAGAAAUUCGACCAAGCCUGGAUCCAAUGGAGUAAAAUACACUGAUUGACAUUCAAAGACUUUUCUAAGAAUUCAAAUCAUAAAACAAAAACGUGUUAAACACUUUAAUGAGGAAUAAUGCUCAUGAUUUAUUGUCAUAUUGAGUUGUUCUUGUAUGGAAACUUUCUCUUUGUCCUUCCACACAUUGAAGUCGUGUACCAAGUCUCUUUGGUGGGAAGAUUCAGUUCUCUUGGCACCAAUAAGGAAAUAUUUAUUUGUCUUAAUGUAUUUCCAUGCAUGUUGCUUCCAUUUAGGCAAGUUUUGAAGUGGAGAAUAUCUUUAUUAUUUGAAUUACAUGUCCCAAAUCAGAUUUGAAUGAUGAAUGAUUUGGGACAAGUAUGAAAAGAAAUAAAUCAGCAAACCUUGUGAUUCACGCCCCUCCUUGUUUAGGAAACAAUCUUCAUUGUUUAAUGAGCCAUUGAAUGUUGCCAUAUAGGAACCACACGUGUUCUCCCAAAUAGGAAGGUUUUUGAAAGUACAUACCCCUCUCCAAAUAAGGAAUGAGUCAAUUGACAUUCAUUCUCUUAAAGCCUUUUGAUUUCCUAAAUAAGGAAUGAAUCAAUUAGCUUUCUCAUUAAGGUAAGUAUUCACACGCCUCAAUCAUCUUUGGUUCUUUACACCUUACUCAAAUAAAAGAUGAAUCAAUUGGCAUACAUCUUUUAAAGUCUCUUACUCCCAAGAAGGUAAGGUCUUGAAUUUGUUCUUCAUUUGAGAUCACUCAUCCAAGCUGAAUAAGGUAGACAUUCAUAUGCUUCCAUAUGCCUAUUUCCAAGAAGAAAGUUGUACCUGAUUAUAUGAAUAAUAGAGUCCAAAAUAAAGUAAAAUGUUGGUCACAUUAAACCAAAUUACACCCAAUAGGAAAGUCUUAAAUUAUUCUUAAAAACAAGGAAAGAAAAUAACUCCUAUUCUACAUGGGGACAAAAGGCCCACACUUUAUUAAAUGCAACUUAAAAAUCUUAUGCCUUCCUAAAAAAUUGUAUCCUCUAUCAGAUGGUUCUUCAAGUUGAAGGACACACUUGAUGACCUUAUGCUCUUUAUCAAUAUUUUAUCAAUAUUGGAAUAUUUCUGGAUCAGAUCAAAUUUUAGUAACUACUUUGAGAGCAUCUUGUAUCACAUGAUAUUUUAGUAGCUUUAUUAGGAACAUCUUUUAUUGGGAGAUAUUCUAGUAGCUUUACUUAGAGCAUCUUUUAUAUCAAGAUUUUUGAGUAACGUUAUUGAGAGCAUCUUGUACUUGAGAUGCUUUAUCUAACCUAUAUUUAUAUAUGGAGAAAAUUUUGGUCUUGUAAUGUAAAGUUUUAGUAGAUAUAUAUAUUAUGACAAAAAAAUUAAUAAUUUAUUUUCUGAGAGUGAUACUUAUUGAGAUGGACAACCACAUAUCUUAAAAAAAAUUAAUUUUUUUCCCAAAAAAUAAGAUAAUAUUACUAAAAAUAUAUGAUUCUAGUAUAGAAGUUGAGUCUUUUAAAUUUAGUCCUUCCAUAAAAUAAAGUAUCAAUUCAGUUCUUUAUUUUUUGGAUGGUUGUCAAUUUCACCAUUUCACUAUACCAAUGUUAAAUUUCAUUAAAAUUUACCUGUUUUCAUUGAAAAGCGCACUUAUCUUUAAUCUAUCCUUGUCAACUUCCCUCCUUUACUCUUUUCAUCUUUAUCAUAUUCAUUCAAGAAUUCAAAAUAAACAAUUAUUUUGAAUGAAACAUAUUUACUUUCACCCAAUUUAUAUAUGUUUGAUUGAAAAAAAUAUAUUUAAAUUAAAAUUUUGAUUAUUAAAUAGUUUUUUAACUAAUGCUAACUUUAUGGUAUAUAAAAUAAUCAUAAAAUAUCAGCUAACAUUAAAAAUAAGAAUGUAAUAUCUAUACAGUAGAAUAUUUAUAUAUAUUUAAUAUAUCAUUUGUUGUUUAUUUGAAUUAUUUUUUUGAAGAAUGAAUGAUGAUUAUAUGAAUUAUGAAUGAUACAAUGAUAAUAUAUAAAACUCAUACACCGUUAAUGUAUACAUUUUUUCUCUAAAAAAUAAUUUCUUAAAUUAACACCAUUAUAGUCAUGGUCACUAAGGAAUCAUACUAUCAUAGUAUGAAAAUCUUACAAUCAAAAGCAAGUGGAAAAGAAAUUACAUAAUUCAUCCAUAAAAAGAAAGAAUGUAGUGAGUAACAAGGUUGUCCAAGAAAGAAAUAUGCACUAAAAUUAAUAGGGUAGGGUUCUUAAAAUGUACUAAUUGUAUUUAGGUAUGAAUUUGAAUUGAAUUCGAGUAAAAAUUCAAGAAUCAUAUUGAAAAUAUCACAUCUUUAAUUUUAUUCUUAAAUGGGUAAUGUUUUAAUUUUCACAUUUCCCUUGAAGUUAAGUAUUUUAAUUACUUUUUUAGUACAUCUAUAAAUUAUUGUUUGGUUUGUAACUUAGCACACACUCUUCUAUUUUUACACCCUAAUUUUCUUCACUAGCUUGUAGCUACUAUGCUUAACUUAAGCACCACUCCACCCCUUGCUAUGAUAAUUUUAAAAACCAUGCUAUGAAUAAUAAUCUUAAUUUUAUUUAUCAUAUUUAAUGAUAUAAAUUGAAGUAAUUUCCAAGAGCCACAUUCAACUUAUCAAUUGUAUAUAAGGAAGCUAAAAACAUUUUUUUUAAAAGUGUAAUAUAUAUAUACCGUUAGUGUAAAAAUUUAUAUAUAACCAAUACAUUAUUCACCAUUCAUUUGUAUUAAUUUUUCUAAAGAAUCAAUGGUUAUUGAAAAUGAAUCUAGAUGAUAGACUAAUAAUAUAUAAAACUUCUUACUAUAAGUGCAUACAUUUUUUCCCUCAUUUUUUUAAAUUAAAAUUCAUGGACAAGCUGAGUGAAAUCUUGAGGGAUCUUGAAAUGCUUUGGUCACACCCCAAAUAGUUUUGUUAAAUAAGUCUAUAUAAAAAAAUAUUGUAUAUACUAUCAAUAUAAUGAUUUAUACCUAAUCACUAUAUUAUCAUCAUUCAUUUAUAUUAAUUUUUUGAAAAGUCAAUGAUAAUUAAAAAUAAAUGGUAAAUGAUAAACUAAGUGUAUAAAACUAUUACAAUAUUAGUGCAUACAUUUUUUCACUUCAAAAAAUUAAAUUAAAUGAUCACUCUUAACCACAUAUAGAAUUUAUUAAGGGGUUAUUUUCAAUGUGACGAAUCACUUUUAGCCUGAAUAAAAUCUCUUUAACUCUAUUAUGUGUGGAGUUAUAGUUGGAGAAAAUUGAAAAUUUAGGACAUGUGUUUUUUUGCCCCACAUAAUCGUCAUAGAUUAAUUAAAGAAAAAAAAAAAAGUGCAUACCCACAAUUAUAAUAUAAGAGUUUUUUUUACCAUAUCUCUGUAUCAUUUAUAUUUAAUCGUUAUCAAUUCUUAAAUAAAAGUAAUACAAAUCAAUGACUAGAUAAUACACUGGUUAUGUAUAUAUAUAUCUUUAUACUGACAACACAUAAAUAUUAUACUCUUAUUUAAUAUAGUACAUCGUGUACAUCUAUGUACUGACAAUUUAAAAAUUUAUACAUAGUCACUGCAUUAUCUAUUAUUUACUUAUAUUACUUUUUGUUGUUCAAAAAUCAAUGAUAAUUAAACAUAUGAAUAAUGCAUAAUACAAUACAAUAACAAUAUAUAAAACUUGUUUUUUUUUCAAUGUAAACAUGAGCAAGAUUUUUUCUUACCAAAUUAGGCAUGCUUGAUAUUCAUGGUCCAACUUGAAGGGGGUGUUAGAUUCAUAUAAAUCAUAGUUCCAAAUGUAACUCAAACUCACU